AUUGAACGCUGGCGGCAGGCUUAACACAUGCAAGUCGAGCGGAGAUGAGGUGCUUGCACCUUAUCUUAGCGGCGGACGGGUGAGUAAUGCUUAGGAAUCUGCCUAUUAGUGGGGGACAACAUUCCGAAAGGAAUGCUAAUACCGCAUACGCCCUACGGGGGAAAGCAGGGGAUCUUCGGACCUUGCGCUAACAGAUGAGCCUAAGUCGGAUUAGCUAGUUGGUGGGGUAAAGGCCUACCAAGGCGACGAUCUGUAGCGGGGCUGAGAGGAUGAUCCGCCACACUGGGACUGAGACACGGCCCAGACUCCUACGGGAGGCAGCAGUGGGGAAUAUUGGACAAUGGGCGGAAGCCUGAUCCAGCCAUGCCGCGUGUGUGAAGAAGGCCUUUUGGUUGUAAAGCACUUUAAGCGAGGAGGAGGCUACCUGGAUUAAUACUCUAGGAUAGUGGACGUUACUCGCAGAAUAAGCACCGGCUAACUCUGUGCCAGCCGCCGCCGUAAAAC
rnacentral:rRNA from 1 species